rnacentral:rRNA from 1 species
GGCCAGACUCCUACGGGAGGCAGCAGUGGGGGAUAUUGCACAAUGGGGGGAACCCUGAUGCAGCGACGCCGCGUGGGUGAAGGAGUGCUUCGGCAUGUAAAGCCCUAUCGGCAGGGAAGAAGCAAGACGGUACCUGACUAAGAAGCCCCGGCUAACUACGUGCCAGCAGCCGCGGUAAUACGUAGGGGGCGAGCGUUAUCCGGAUUCACUGGGUGUAAAGGGAGCGUAGACGGCCAUGCAAGCCAGGGGUGAAAGCCCGGGGCCCAACCCCGGGACUGCCCUUGGAACUGCAUGGCUGGAGUGCGGGAGGGGCAGGCGGAAUUCCUAGUGUAGCGGUGAAAUGCGUAGAUAUUAGGAGGAACACCAGUGGCGAAGGCGGCCUGCUGGGCUUUUACUGACGCUGAGGCUCGAAAGUGUGGGGAGCAAACAGGAUUAGAUACCCGAGUAAU